rnacentral:lncRNA from 1 species
AGAGGACCAUCCUAAAGGGAUGGUCCUAAAGCUCUAGUGAGCUUUUCAAAUUCUUUUCAAAUUCAAACCAUAUUGAAAGAGGCAAAAACUUUUGUCUUUCUAAUAUGGCUUAUCCGUCUGCCUAUGACUGCCCUGAACAUGCUUCCUUUAUUUUAAACUAAACCACAGUCAUGGUAACCUGACCAAAAUUAAUCAUCUUCCAAAUUCGUGAAGAACUCCAAGUUAAGCAAGUGUAGAAGAAACAUGACAAGCUGUGCUUUAUUUUGACAACUUCCGCUUCAGGUUGGUAGGGAGCACACACACUAACAAGUGUACCUAUCAAAUCACAAAGCUUUAACAAAAAGAAAGCAAGAAGUAUUUUGCCAGGGAAAAAAAUGAAGGCUUUCUCUCCAGAUAAAAUAAGCAGAUCAGCAAAUAAUGUAAGCAAAACGUCAAGAAUUGCUGGAAUAACAGAGAACAAUAGCUCAACAUCUUUUUUGUGGUCAAGCUUCACUUGAGAAGCCUGGCAGCGCUCCAUGCCUUGCCAAGGCCCUCACUGGGAGGGGACCCAGCUCAUCACACCCCAGCAGCAGGACCUGCCCCCAGGACUGGACAUGGGAACACGUCACCUCCAGCUCCCCCAACCCAAGCACCUCCUGAAGGGUUGUGACAGCACAGCAGCUCCUGGCAGAGGUUUGAAAGGCUGCCCUGACACCUCACCACCACGUGAGCCGGGGUGCCUGGAGGGACAAAGAAAGGCAGCGGAACACAGCGGCCCUUCCGCAGGCUCCAUCCCGCUGACAGACGGGCUGUGCUCAGGCAAUCGGGCAUUUUGGGAAGCUGCUCCCCACCACCCCUGUGUCGGAUGGCAACUGUGGGAUCCAACCGACAACGAUGAGGAGGAAACACCCAUCUCUCUCUCACCCGGUGGGGUACAAACGGCCCUUCAGAGCCUCCUUUGGAGCACUGUAACAAGGUGAAGAUGCUACCUCUUCCUCACCCCUUGAUCCCAGCAGAGCGAGUCCAGGGGACAUCCUGGGGACAUGGGGACACACCUGCCCCGUCAGCGCCCCGAGGAGCAAGCAGGAGACCGAUGCCCCAUUGUUGCUGAGGUGUGGGGGCAGUAGCUGCCAGCUGGGAAACCUGGAUAAUCGAUAAAAAGAUUUCAAAAAGCAGGAAACACCAGGAGAUGUGCAGCUGCAGCCCAGAAGGCCAAUCGCACCCUGGGCUGCAUCAAAAGCUGCGUUGCCAGCAGGUCCAGAGAGGUGAUUCUUCCACUUUGCUCUGGUGAGACCUCACCUGGAGGUUUGUGUGCAGGUCUGGAGCCCUCAAUAUAAGAAGGACAUGGACCUGAUGGAGAGGGUCCAGAGGAGGGCCACAAGGAUGAUCAGGGGGAUGGAGCACCUCUGCUACGAGGACAGGCUGAGGGAGCUGGGGUUGUUCAGCCUGGAGAAGAGGAGGCUCCGGGGAGACCUAAUAGCAGCCUUCCAGUACCUGAGGGGGGCUACAGGAAGGCUGGGGAGAGCCUGUUUAGAAAGGCCUGCAGUGACAGGACGAGGGGCAAUGGCUUCAAGCUGGAGGGGAACAGAUUUAGACUGGAGAUGAGGAGAGGGUUCUUCACUGUGAGGGUGGUGGAGCACUGGGACAGGUUGCCCAGGGAGGUGGUUGAGGCCCCUUCCCUGGAGAUAUUCAAGGAGAGGCUCGACGAGGCCCUGGGCAACCUGGUCUAGUUGGGGGUGUCCCUGCUGACUGCGGGGGGGUGGGACUAGAUGGCCUUUGGAGGUCCCUUCUGGCCUGGACCAUUCUAUGAGAUCAGGACCAGGCCACCGACACAAGGUGCUUUACAAGGUCCCCAGGGAGGGCUCACACUGAGCACCCCAGCCUGUGCUCCUGCCAGACACAUCAUUGCCUCCCCCCAGGGCUGGCAAAGCAAUUGAUUCUUUCCCAGGGAAAAAAAAAAAAAAAAGCCACAAAGAAAGCAUUUUUAUUUUUAUGAGCUAGAUAAAUCUAUUUUAUAUACUGUCAGCUGUAAUAGGCACACACUGGAUAACGUUAUUUCCCUUCCCUGUAAUUCUCACCCCAUGCUUACUCAGCUCACAGGCUGGCAAAAUGGAAUAAAAUAAUAUAAAAUAAACCA